UCCGUAGGCGGGCUAAUAAGUCAGGGGUGAAAUUCCACAGCUUAACUGUGGAACUGCCUUUGAUACUGUUAGUCUUGAGUUAUAUGGAAGUAGAUAGAAUGUGUAGUGUAGCGGUGAAAUGCAUAGAUAUUACACAGAAUACCGAUUGCGAAGGCAGUCUACUACGUAUAUACUGACGCUAAUGGACGAAAGCGUGGGGAGCGAACAGGAUUAGAUACCCUGGUAGUCC
rnacentral:rRNA from 1 species